UCCCUGGUGGUCCAGUGGUUGGGACUUCACGCUUUCACUGCAGGGGGGCUCAGGUUCGAUCCCUGGUCAGGGAA
rnacentral:tRNA from 1 species